AUAGCCUUUCGAAAGAAAGAUUAAUACCGGAUAGCAUACGAAUAUCGCAUGAUAUUUUUAUUAAAGAAUUUCGGUUAUCGAUGGGGAUGCGUUCCAUUAGUUUGUUGGCGGGGUAACGGCCCACCAAGACUACGAUGGAUAGGGGUUCUGAGAGGAAGGUCCCCCACAUUGGAACUGAGACACGGUCCAAACUCCUACGGGAGGCAGCAGUGAGGAAUAUUGGUCAAUGGGCGAGAGCCUGAACCAGCCAAGUAGCGUGAAGGAUGAAGGCUCUAUGGGUCGUAAACUUCUUUUAUAUGGGAAUAAAGUAUUCCACGUGUGGAAUUUUGUAUGUACCAUAUGAAUAAGGAUCGGCUAACUCCGUGCCAGCAGCCGCGGUAAUACGGAGGAUCCGAGCGUUAUCCGGAUUUAUUGGGUUUAAAGGGAGCGUAGGUGGAUUGUUAAGUCAGUUGUGAAAGUUUGCGGCUCAACCGUAAAAUUGCAGUUGAAACUGGCAGUCUUGAGUACAGUAGAGGUGGGCGGAAUUCGUGGUGUAGCGGUGAAAUGCUUAGAUAUCACGAAGAACUCCGAUUGCGAAGGCAGCUCACUAGACUGUUACUGACACUGAUGCUCGAAAGUGUGGGUAUCAAACAGGAUUAGAUACCCUGGUAGUCCACACAGUAAACGAUGAAUACUCGCUGUUUGCGAUAUACAGUAAGCGGCC
rnacentral:rRNA from 1 species